GUCUACGGCCAUACCACCCUGAACAUGCCUGAUCUCUUCUGAUCUCAGAAGCUAAGCAGGGUCGAGCCUGGUUAGUACUUAGAUGGAAGAAAAUAGAUAUGAAUAGAGC
rnacentral:rRNA from 1 species